rnacentral:rRNA from 1 species
GAUGAACGCUGGCGGCGUGCUUAACACAUGCAAGUCGAACGAAGCACUUUAUUUGAUUUCCUUCGGGACUGAUUAUUUUGUGACUGAGUGGCGGACGGGUGAGUAACGCGUGGGUAACCUGCCUUGUACAGGGGGAUAACAGUUGGAAACGGCUGCUAAUACCGCAUAAGCGCCCGGCAUCGCAUGAUGCAGUGUGAAAAACUCCGGUGGUAUAAGAUGGACCCGCGUUGGAUUAGCUAGUUGGUGAGGUAACGGCCCACCAAGGCGACGAUCCAUAGCCGACCUGAGAGGGUGACCGGCCACAUUGGGACUGAGACACGGCCCAAACUCCUACGGGAGGCAGCAGUGGGGAAUAUUGCACAAUGGGCGAAAGCCUGAUGCAGCGACGCCGCGUGAGCGAAGAAGUAUUUCGGUAUGUAAAGCUCUAUUAGCAGGGAAGAUAAUGACGGUACCUGAAUAAGAAGCACCGGCUAAAUACGUG